GUCGCUUCUCGGCCUUUUGGCCAUGAUCAAGUGUAGUACAUGUUCUUACCGCUUUAAUAUUCUAUCCAAGGACAGACGACAUAAUAAAUGUAUUUGGGGAGCAGGAAAAUGAACGAGGAGUUUGCUCAGCCCAGUCCAUGCAUCGACCUGGUAUUGCAGUAUCUCCAGGAACAGCGUGCCCCAU